rnacentral:rRNA from 1 species
UUACGGGAGGCAGCAGUGGGGAAUUUUGGACAAUGGGCGAAAGCCUGAUCCAGCGACGCCGCGUGGAGGAUGAAGGUCUUCGGAUUGUAAACUCCUUUUGGAGGGGACGAAAAAAAUGACGGUACCCUCAGAAAAAGCCACGGCUAACUACGUGCCAGCAGCCGCGGUAAUACGUAGGUGGCGAGCGUUACUCGGAAUUACUAGGUGUAAAGCGCAUGCAGGUGGUUGGAUAAGUCCGUAGUGAAAUUUCCCGGCUUAACUGGGAAGGGUCUGCGGAAACUAUCCGGCUUGAGUGUGGGAGGGGUGGACGGAAUUCCUGGUGUAGCGGUGAAAUGCGUAGAUAUCAGGAGGAACACCGAUGGCGAAAGCGGUCCACUGGCCCAAUACUGACACUGAGGUGCGAAAGCUAGGGGAGCAAACAGGAUUAGAUACCCGUGUAC